ACGGGGGGUGCAAGCGUUGUUCGGAAUUAUUGGGCGUAAAGAGCGUGUAGGCGGCCGGAUGUGUCAGAUGUGAAAGCCCUGGGCUUAACCCAGGAAGUGCAUUUGAAACUGUCCGGCUUGAGUAGGGGCGAGGGAAGUGGAAUUCCUGGUGUAGAGGUGAAAGUCGUAGAUAUCAGGAGGAACACCGGUGGCGAAGGCGACUUCCUGUCCCUCUACUGACGCUGCGACGCCAGAGCGUGGGUAGCAAACAU
rnacentral:rRNA from 1 species